UACGUAGGGCGCAAGCGUUGUCCGGAAUUAUUGGGCGUAAAGAGCUCGUAGGCGGUUUGUCGCGUCUGCUGUGAAAACCUAAGGCUCAACCUUGGGCUUGCAGUGGGUACGGGCAGACUAGAGUGCGGUAGGGGGUGACUGGAAUUCCUGGUGUAGCGGUGGAAUGCGCAGAUAUCAGGAGGAACACCGAUGGCGAAGGCAGGUCACUGGGCCGCAACUGAC
rnacentral:rRNA from 1 species